rnacentral:rRNA from 1 species
AUUGAACGCUGGCGGCAGGCCUAACACAUGCAAGUCGAACGGUAGCACAGAGAGCUUGCUCUCGGGUGACGAGUGGCGGACGGGUGAGUAACGUCUAGAAACUGCCCGAUGGAGGGGGAUAACUACUGGAAACGGUAGCUAAUACCGCAUAACGUCGCAAGACCAAAGUGGGGGACCUUCGGGCCUCACACCAUCGGAUGUGCCCAGAUGGGAUUAGCUAGUAGGCGGGGUAAUGGCUCACCUAGGCGAAGAUCCCUAGCUGGUCUGAGAGGAUGACCAGCCACACUGGAACUGAGACACGGUCCAGACUCCUACGGGAGGCAGCAGUGGGGAAUAUUGCACAAUGGGCGCAAGCCUGAUGCAGCCAUGCCGCGUGUAUGAAGAAGGCCUUCGGGUUGUAAAGUACUUUCAGCGGGGAGGAAGGCGGUGAAGUUAAUAACUUCACCGAUUGACGUUACCCGCAGAAGAAGCACCGGCUAACUCCGUGCCAGCCGCCGCAGUAA